CAAUAGCGUAUAUUAAAGUUGUUGCGGUAAAAAAGCUCGUAGUUGGAUUUCUACCGAAGAUAGCCGGUCGGGUCUUCGACCUUGUAUCUGGUUUUGUCUUUGGUAUCCUCAUAGGGAACGUUUCUGCGCUUUAUUGCGUGGUGCGGUAUCUAUGACUUUUACUUUGAGGAAAUUAGAGUGUUCACGGCAGGCAAACGCCUUGAACAUAUUAGCAUGGAAUAAUAACAUAGGAUCUUCGUCCUAUUUUGUUGGUUUCUAGGGCUAAGAUAAUGAUUAAUAGGGAUAAUUGGGGGCAUCUGUAUCAACGCGUCAGAGGUGGAAUUCUUGGAUUGCGUUGCGACAAACUACUGCGAAAGCAUUUGCCAAGGAUGUUUUCAUUGA
rnacentral:rRNA from 1 species